rnacentral:rRNA from 1 species
ACAAGCGGUGGAUGAUGUGGAUUAAUUCGAUGCAACGCGAAAACCUUACCUACCCUUGACAUGUCCGGAAUCCCGAAGAGAUUUGGGAGUGCUCGCAAGAGAACCGGAACACAGGUGCUGCAUGGCUGUCGUCAGCUCGUGUCGUGAGAUGUUGGGUUAAGUCCCGCAACGAGCGCAACCCUUGUCAUUAGUUGCCAUCAUUUGGUUGGGCACUCUAAUGAGACUGCCGGUGACAAACCGGAGGAAGGUGGGGAUGACGUCAAGUCCUCAUGGCCCUUAUGGGUAGGGCUUCACACGUCAUACAAUGGUCGGUACAGAGGGUUGCCAACCCGCGAGGGGGAGCUAAUCCCACAAAGCCGAUCGUAGUCCGGAUCGCAGUCUGCAACUCGACUGCGUGAAGUCGGAAUCGCUAGUAAUCGUGGAUCAGCAUGUCACGGUGAAUACGUUCCCGGGUCUU